CAAUAGCGUAUAUUAAAGUUGUUGCGGUUAAAAAGCUCGUAGUUGGAUUUCUGCUGAGAACGACCGGUCCGCCCUCUGGGUGUGUAUCUGGCUCUUUCUUGGCAUCUUCUUGGUGAACGUUGCUGCACUUGACUGUGUGGAGCGCUACCCAGGACUUUUACUUUGAGGAAAUUAGAGUGUUUCAAGCAGGCAUACGCCUUGAAUACAUUAGCAUGGAAUAAUAAGAUAGGACCUCGGUUCUAUUUUGUUGGUUUCUAGAGCUGAGGUAAUGAUUAAUAGGGAUAGUUGGGGGCAUUCGUAUUUAACUGUCAGAGAUGAAAUUCUUGGAUUUGUUAAAGACGGACUACUGCGAAAGCAUUUGCCAAGGAUGUUUNCAUUGA
rnacentral:rRNA from 1 species